UGAGCAAACGUUGAUCCCAGAAUAUCGGAACCAAUGCAAAUAUUAAUAACAAUUACGAGCAGGCCACGUCGUACUCGACUCAGUCACGCCUGUUAUGACGGCGCACAUAAUUUUCUUACAGAACUUGAAUACAAACGAAACUU
rnacentral:lncRNA from 1 species